AGAGUUUGAUCCUGGCUCAGGACGAACGCUGGCGGCGUGCUUAACACAUGCAAGUCGAACGAGAAUCUACUGAAAGAGUUUUCGGACAAUGGAUGUAGAGGAAAGUGGCGGACGGGUGAGUAACGCGUGAGGAACCUGCCUUGAAGAGGGGGACAACAGUUGGAAACGACUGCUAAUACCGCAUGAUGCAUAGGGAUCGCAUGAUCUUUAUGCCAAAGAUUUAUCGCUUCAAGAUGGCCUCGCGUCUGAUUAGCUGGUUGGCGGGGUAACGGCCCACCAAGGCGACGAUCAGUAGCCGGACUGAGAGGUUGAACGGCCACAUUGGGACUGAGAUACGGCCCAGACUCCUACGGGAGGCAGCAGUGGGGAAUAUUGGGCAAUGGGCGCAAGCCUGACCCAGCAACGCCGCGUGAAGGAAGAAGGCUUUCGGGUUGUAAACUUCUUUUAAGUGGGAAGAGUAGAAGACGGUACCACUUGAAUAAGCCACGGCUAACUACGUGCCAGCAGCCGCGGUAAUACGUAGGUGGCAAGCGUUGUCCGGAAUUAUUGGGCGUAAAGGGAGCGCAGGCGGGAAACUAAGCGGAUCUUAAAAGUGCGGGGCUCAACCCCGUGAUGGGGUCCGAACUGGUUUUCUUGAGUGCAGGAGAGGAAAGCGGAAUUCCCAGUGUAGCGGUGAAAUGCGUAGAUAUUGGGAAGAACACCAGUGGCGAAGGCGGCUUUCUGGACUGUAACUGACGCUGAGGCUCGAAAGCUAGGGUAGCGAACGGGAUUAGAUACCCCGGUAGUCCUAGCCGUAAACGAUGGAUACCGGUCAUCUCCGCACUUGCCAGGAAAAUCUCCGGGAGAUCCUUAAAUUUAAUGGUCUUAUAGAAGAAUAAGGAUAAGAUCAAAGUAUAAACAACCGCAACUACAGAACCUUCUGUCGCAGUAAAGAUACCGCCGAUGAUACCGCCGAUCACGAUCACGAUCAUCAGAAGGCUUGGAAGCGCCUGCCAGAUCACCAUCAGUUUCUCUUUUCCUUUAAAAGAGCUUGUGCUCUUGUAUCCUUUUUUCAUUGCAAAAAUGUAGAUCACGAUCAUGCAGGCCAGUCCCCAGAGAAUACCAGGAAUAUAGCCAGCCAUGAACAGAGCCGCCACGGAAGUACCUCCGCUGACCAAAGAGAAGGUGAUCAUCACGUUACUUGGCGGGAUAAGAAGCCCGGUCGGAGCGGUUGCGAUAUUGGCUGCCGCAGAGAAUUCUGCGUCAUAGCCC
rnacentral:rRNA from 1 species